CCGCGGGAUUAGAGUUUGAUCCUGGCUCAGAAUCAACGCUGGCGGCGUGCCUCAGACAUGCAAGUCGAACGAUUAAACUUUCCUUCGGGAAAGAUAUAAAGUGGCGCACGGGUGAGUAACACGUAAGUAAUCUACCUUUGGAUGGGGAAUAACAGUCGGAAACGACUGCUAAUACCGCAUAAUGCAGCGGCACCUAAUGGUGACAGUUGUUAAAGUAUUUAUACGUCUGGAGAGGAGCUUGCGGCAGAUUAGCUAGUUGGUAAGGUAACGGCUUACCAAGGCUACGAUCUGUAUCCGACCUGAGAGGGUGGUCGGACACACUGACACUGAAUAACGGGUCAGACUCCUACGGGAGGCAGCAGUCGGGAAUUUUGGGCAAUGGGCGAAAGCCUGACCCAGCAACGCCGCGUGAAGGAUGAAGUCUUUCGGGAUGUAAACUUCGUAAGAAUAGGAAGAAUAAAUGACGGUACUAUUUGUAAGGUCCGGCUAACUACGUGCCAGCAGCCGCGGUAAUACGUAGGGACCAAGCGUUGUUCGGAUUUACUGGGCGUAAAGGGCGCGUAGGCGGCGUGACAAGUCAAUUGUGAAAUCUCCGGGCUUAACUCGGAACGGUCAAUUGAUACUGUUGUGCUAGAGUACAGAAGGGGCAAUCGGAAUUCUUGGUGUAGCGGUGAAAUGCGUAGAUAUCAAGAGGAACACCUGAGGUGAAGACGGGUUGCUGGGCUGAUACUGACGCUGAGGCGCGAAAGCUAGGGUAGCAAACGGGAUUAGAUACCCCGGUAGUCCUAGCCCUAAACGAUGAAUACUUGGUGUCUGGAGUUUUAAUUCUCUGGGUGCCGUCGCUAACGUUUUUAGUAUUCCGC
rnacentral:rRNA from 1 species